rnacentral:rRNA from 1 species
GACAGAGGGUGCAAACGUUGCUCGGAAUUACUGGGCGUAAAGCGCGUGUAGGCGGUUUCGCAAGUCAGGUGUGAAAGCCCAGGGCUCAACCCUGGAAGUGCACAUGAUACUACGGAGCUGGAGUACUGAAGAGGAGAGCGGAAUUCCCGGUGUAGAGGUGAAAUUCGUAGAUAUCGGGAGGAACACCAGUGGCGAAGGCGGCUCUCUGGGCAGAUACUGACGCUGAGACGCGAAAGCGUGGGUAGCAAACAGG